rnacentral:rRNA from 1 species
CAGUAGCCGCGGUAAUACGAAGGGGGCUAGCGUUGUUCGGAAUUACUGGGCGUAAAGCGCACGUAGGCGGAUAUUUAAGUCAGGGGUGAAAUCCCAGAGCUCAACUCUGGAACUGCCUUUGAUACUGGGUAUCUUGAGUAUGGAAGAGGUGAGUGGAAUUCCGAGUGUAGAGGUGAGAUUCGUAGAUAUUCGGAGGAACACCAGUGGCGAAGGCGGCUCACUGGUCCAUUACUGACGCUGAGGUGCGUAAGCGUGGGGAGCAAACAGGAUUAGAUACCCCGGUAGUCCCUGUCUCUUAUAC